GACGAACGCUGGCGGCGCGCCUAACACAUGCAAGUCGAACGAGAGAGAGGAAGCUUGCUUCCUUAAUCGAGUGGCGAACGGGUGAGUAACGCGUGAGGAACCUGCCUCAAAGAGGGGGACAACAGUUGGAAAUGACUGCUAAUACCGCAUAAGACCACAGCACCGCAUGGUGCAGGGGUAAAAACUCCGGUGGUAUGAGAUGGCCUCGCGUCCGAUUAGCUGGUUGGUGAGGUAACGGCCCACCAAGGCGACGAUCGGUAGCCGGACUGAGAGGUUGAACGGCCACAUUGGGACUGAGACACGGUCCAA
rnacentral:rRNA from 1 species